GGAGGCGAGGAAAAUGUAUCGCGUGGCAUUUAAAUAGUAAAAUGCAUUAUUUGUGAUUAGUGGAUUCCUAAAUCUUCAUCAAGAUAAUAUUAAUUCUCUUAUCGUUCUCUAGCAAGCUAUACCUAGAUCUAUAUAUGGUAUAAUUAAUAACAAUAACAAUGUCCUUUCUUAUCUAUUUUCCAUCCUAUAUAUGCGGAAGGUAUAUUAUUAAUUAAAGUAAUAAAUGUCCUUUGAGAUGUUUUAACAGCUUAUUGUGAUUUGUUCGUAGGAACCCGUGAACCAUAUACAGUACCUCCAGAUUCCUUUUGCAUGGAUAUAAAAGGAUCGAGGCGGUAGCAACGACAUGAUUCAUUAUCCAGAGCAACAAAUGAUAAUGGAGAAGCAGACAUGGCGUGAUAUUGGUUCGGCUCACUACUCUCUGAUUCAUCAGAUUAGAUAUGAGCCGAACCAAUAUCACUCUUGUAUUCUUCUUCAUGCGUACCGCCUUUUUGGUUUUAUUCUUUUGAUUUAGCUUUCUCUUUCUUAUUUGUAUUACUAUAUAUAUAUAUAUAUAUUUGGCUCUAUUUGUUAACAGAGUUUACUAGAGAUCCAACAAAUGGUACUGAGUUUGGUGGUCAUCAGAAAUGGUAAACAUCACAGCGUGGUUUCUUCGAAGUCAAUAUUGUAGUAUAUAUACUAGCGAAUUAACUGGAGAAACCUGGCAGCUGCUUGAAAGGAAAAAAAAUGGAUUAUCGAAAGAAUGAGGAAGAAAGAGAAGGAAAAAAUGUGUUUGGCCUAUUCUGUUUUUUUAAUUAAGUGUUGAUAAUUUUAUUUUUUUUGUGUUAAUGAUGUCAUUGAUUAAUGAAAGGAAUAUUAUUUGGUGUUCAUGGUGUGUAUUGUUGUUGUAGCCUUGUAGGUAUGUUAAUGGAGUGGGUAUUUUGUUAAUGGAGUAAAAUUUUGU